GGUGUGGAUCUCGACCGCUUCCAAGUUCUCAAACAGGAGGGGGUGGGGUAACCCAGGGGGACUCCCCCUAUAUUUCAUUUUUUUAUUUAUUAUAUUGUCCUAUACUUGAAUAUAUGCAGGGGCGGAUUCAGACGGGGGAGGGUUGCGGGCUUGCACCCCCCUUAAAUUUGCAAAGCAUGGGUUAUUCUCAGCUUAAUAAAGAAUAUUCCGAUAAUUUUACCUCAAAUUUAUUUUAGCUUCACUGUGCUCGGCGAAAAUUUAAGUUUGCGCCCCUCUUAACCUAAAAUCCUGGAUCUGCCCCUCAUAUGGUUUAGGGGUGGGGAGCUCGACCGUUUCCAAGUUAUCAAACAGGAGGGGGUAGAGUGGCCCAAAGAAUGACACCUAUAUAUCAUAUGAUUUACUUACAUUAAGGUAUAUAUAAUAUAGUUGCAUUAUUUGUGAAAAUAAAGAAAGAAACUUUCAGCUACUUUAAUUGACCCUUCAAAAUUGAGAAA
rnacentral:lncRNA from 1 species